GAUCAUGGCUCAGGAUGAACGCUAGCUACAGGCUUAACACAUGCAAGUCGAGGGGCAGCAUGGUCUUAGCUUGCUAAGGCCGAUGGCGACCGGCGCACGGGUGAGUAACGCGUAUCCAACCUGCCUUACACUCUUGGACAGCCUUCUGAAAGGGAGAUUAAUACAAGAUGUUAUCAUGAGUAAACAUUUUUCGCAUGAUUAAAGGUUUUACCCGGGUGUAAGAUGGGGAUGCGUUCCA
rnacentral:rRNA from 1 species